CAGUCGCCGCGGUAAUACAGAGGGUGCGAGCGUUAAUCGGAAUUACUGGGCGUAAAGCGCACGCAGGCGGUCUGUCAAGUCGGAUGUGAAAUCCCCGGGCUCAACCUGGGAACUGCAUUCGAAACUGGCAGGCUAGAGUCUUGUAGAGGGGGGUAGAAUUCCAGGUGUAGCGGUGAAAUGCGUAGAGAUCUGGAGGAAUACCGGUGGCGAAGGCGGCCCCCUGGACAAAGACUGACGCUCAGGUGCGAAAGCGUGGGGAGCAAACAGGAUUAGAUACCCGAGUAGUCCCUGUCUCUUAUAC
rnacentral:rRNA from 1 species